AUUCAUUCAUACAUAUACAUAUACAUAUAUAUAUAUAUAUAUGUGUGUGUGUGUGUGUGUGUGUGUGUAU